GGCAAGAAGACAGCUGCAGUUAGUGUGUGCAGCCUGUCAGAUUGCAACAGGAAAGGAGGGAUCACUUCCCCUGCCAGCCCUGUCAGUGCCUGGGCUAUACUGAAGGCUGGCACUUUGCCUUGGUAGGAGAAGAAUAGCUACUGGCAGAAAGGACGAAGGACUGGAGCUAACUCACCCCUCACUUACCUAAUGACAGAACUGCUGAGCAGCAGCUAAGCAGGCAGGGGCACCCAAUCUGGCUCCACAUGAGCCUGGUAGAAGAAAAUGUGGCACAGACACAUCUGCAUCUUGCUACGCUGCAAGCCUGGCAAACCUGACUGACUUUCCUGAAGAUGUUGUGGAUAGGGGACAGCAGGGAUGUCACCCUUCUGGAUGCAGCAAGCUUCUAAUGUGCCCUCCCAUAGGCUCCUUGAAGCCAAACUUGGGCACUAUGGACAAGUGGACCAUAAGCAACAGUCAGCAUCAUAAAAUACCUGAAGAAAAAUCACCAACCAAUACUUCAGUUCCACAUUCAGAAACAAGGGGAUUGUGAUGACACUGCUAUUUCAGACUCACCUCCCCUUCAGGGAGAAGGCAUGUGGUGCUCUGAAGAGCCUCAGCAGUGGAAGAGAUCCUGCUUCCAUGUUCACAGGAGACAGCAUCAAGUCAAUCAGAUCCAGAGGGAAUCCCAAACUCCCAUAGAGGGACCAGGCAACUUCAACUGUAAGACAAAAAGGACAAGAACUCUGUGUGAACACAGAAAGCAAAGGCAUCUCAAGAUUUGUCUGCAUGGGGCCAGUCUAGUGUGUGCUUUGGUAACGGGAUCCACCUGCAUUGUGUACAACUGUACAGUUAAUGGGGAAGAGAAGCUGUGGAGUUCUUGCAUGGAACUGAGUGUUAAUAAUGCUCCACAGCCCCAUUCCUGCUAAAAUUCAGUGCAGCACAUCCAGACAGGCAGCUGCAGUGGUUGGGUCCUGUGCUACUCCUCUCAGCUGUCUCUUAAAAGGACCUCAUUAAUCAGUCAAUAAAACAGCAAGGGAAUGUUUCUCACUUGCCUGGUGCCUGCUUUGUUGCGAGGAUGAAGUACUAGAAAACAACUGCAAUCUGGAGAAAGGAACAUCUGCUCCUCUGUCUGGGGCUAGACAGUCACAACAGAGGCUAGGGAGGCAAACAUCCACCAGUUGUGACUGCAAUAUUUGUGAGGACCUGGAGCAAACGGUCUCCAAGUGCAGC